rnacentral:lncRNA from 1 species
UUUCUUUUCUUCUUCUCUCUAUACGUUGGAGUUCUAACCAAUAAUCACCGAUGCGAUAUUCUGUCCGAUCGAUUCAGGAACCAACUAACGGAUGCCAAAGUGCUGUACUUUGUGAAUUUCGUUAAACGGAUGCCAAAGUGCUGUACUUUGUGAAUUUCGUUAAACGGAUGCCAAAGUGCUGUCUAAGCAAGACUAUACUUUGUGAAUUUCGUUAAGGUUCGAAUCUCGUGACCAUCGUUAGGUUAGAUGUGGUUUUACACUAACACGUAUUCCACUCUAUGAAACUAAAUGUUUAACUACCCGAAACUCUACACCAUACUCUUACAAUCAAAAUGGAUGCUUAAUCAUCAGAAUGUUCAAAACAAUAAAGUAUAUGCUUAGUUAUCAGAAGGCGUAGAAUCAAGAAGCUUGUUAAAUCACAACUGCAUACUUAUAAAGUAAUUACAGUAGAUUGGAAUAAGAGUUGGAUAUGACACUGACGGCAUAAAGAAGUGGCUUAUUUUAUUUAUUAAAUUAAAUUAAGAAAUAUUUUUUAUGUAAUCGGGCUUAUCCCAUAUUAAAAGCUACCUUUAUAAAACAUGGGUUUAUCCCCAUCUGUUUAAUAAAUAAAAUCCAGUGUUUCUAAACUCUGAUAUUUUUCCUAACUCACGGUCCUGAUGAAGUUUCCGCUGCAAUGUUUUCAAAAUAACCACCGGUACCACUGAACUGGUUCGCGGCUCCCGAUUCCAUCCAGGGUGGGGUCGGGGGUCGUGACAUGAAUCAAAAUAUCAAUCCUUGUUAUUUUAACAUGCCCCCAUGAUUCGUGUGGCAAACAUAUCAAACAAGCCCAGGUUGUCACACAUAAAACCAUGUUGAACAGAGUUCAACCCUUUGGUAAAUAUAUCUGCAAUUUGAACCUCAGUAGCCACUUUCUCAGGUUGUAUUAUGCCAUUUGCUAGUUUUUCUCUUAAAAAUGUAAGUUAAUUUCAAAAUGUUUAGUCCUUUCAUGAAAGACUGGGUUUAAAGAAAUAGAUAUUGCAGAUUUGUUGUCACAAAACAUUUAGUAUCCAUAUAAUCUCACAGGUAGCUGAACACAUCGCCUUGUAUUCAGUCUCUGUUGUAGACCUGGAUAUCAAACUUUGCUUUUUUACUCUUUUAGGAGAUCCAUAUAUCUCCUAGACAUAUUCCAAACCCUAUAACAGACUUUCUUGUUACUAUACACUUGACCCAAUCAGAAUCAACAAGUUCUCAUAGCACCAAGUCUCUAGUUUUCCUGAACAUAAUACCCUUCCCAGGUGAUUGCUGAUGGGUGGUCCAUAGGACAACCCUUAAAUGAGUUAAAUAGGUGCACAUCUCAUGCUUGUCUCGGUUAAUUGUGGGAAUUUGAUAACUACGUUGAAAUUGUAUUCGCAGGUGUUAAAGAGCCUAAAGAAUGGAUAUUAUGAAGCCUGGAUGGAAGCUUGAUGUUGGUGAAAACAAAAAUGGAAGAUUCAACUUGUAAUGAAGAGAACAAGGGAAAACACCACAUACAGCACCGUAACCUACGGCUCCCUGCCGUAGGUUACGGCUCCCUGCCGUAGGUUACGGCUCCCAUCAUUUGCCAAAAAUUACAGCCGUAAAACAGGGGCCAAGGGCCGUAAAACUCACUGCUCGCCGUAACCUACGGCAGGUGGCCGUAGGUUACGGCUCCCUGCUGACUUGUAUGACUUCGCUGACCGCCGUAACCUACGGCUGGCGGCCGUAGGUUACGGCUCCGACUGAUUCCAACUUUGUAACUCCUUCAUUAAUUGUCAAUUUGAUGGGGUUUAAGGUGACUUAUCAUUGCCAAUCGGUUACCACCUGAUUGUGAACGAAUUUUGGAGACUUUUUGGAGAUUUUGGAGCUUGAAGAACAAUAGUAAUCUUUGGUUUUUAUGUUGGUGAUUCCUUUGAACAUUAAAACUUUUGUUAUGAUGUUGCAUCAAGCCAUGCGUGGCUAAACACUCUAUGGUCAUCCUAGGUUGAAGGUUUGUUUGAAACAAUUGUGUUUUGAUUCCAUAUUUCUAGAAUGGUAAACUCUAUCUAUGUCUUGUUUAUCAUGGUUUUGA